GCCUCGCUAGCUCAAUCGGUAGAGCGUCAGACUCUUAAUCUGAAGGUUACGGGUUUGACCCCCGCGUGGGGCU
rnacentral:tRNA from 1 species